ensembl:lncRNA
CUGCUUUCCUAUCUGUUUACCUGUUGUCUGAACGUCUUUCUGUCUGUCUCCCUGUCUGUCUGUCUGUCUCCGUGUCUGUCUCUCUAUCUGGUUUCCUGUCUGGCUUUGUGCCUGGCUUCCUGUCUGUCUGACUCACUGUCUGUCUGUCAUUCUGUUUGUCUCCCUGUCUGUCUCCCUGUCUGUCUCCCUACCUGGCUUCCUGUCUGUCUCUCUGUCUUCCUGUCUGUCUGACUCACUGUCUGUCCGCCUUCCUAUCUGUUUACCUGUUGUCUGUCUUCCUGAAUGUCUUUCUGUCUGUCUCCCUGUCUGUCUGUCUGUCUCCGUGUCUGUCUCUCUACCUGGUUUCCUGUCUGGCUUUGUGCCUGGCUUCCUGUCUGUCUCUCUGUCUUCCUGUCUGUCUGACUCACUGUCUGUCUGCCUUCCUGUCUGUUUACUUGUCUGUCUGUCUCCCUGUCUCUCUCCCUAACUGUGUGUCUGUCUCCCUGUCUGCCUAUCUGUCUCCCUGUGUCUCUCUCUCUGUCUGUCCAUCUCCCUCCCUUCCUGUCUGUCUGUCUGUGUAACUGCUGCUGCUGUCUCUGUAUCUGUCUGCCUGUCUGUCUCACUGUCUUUCUGUAUAACAUCGUCUAUUUUUGUAUCUAAUGAAAAACAACAGUUCUUUAAGAGUUCCUUAACUUUCUACAAAUGUUUCUUUCGCUUUUUCAUGAUAUAUUCAGAAUUCCUAUCUCAUAAUUUAAGUCAGUAUGACUCACUAACUGCGGCUUAAGCGCCUCAAAUUCAUUCCCUGGUUAAAAACGACACAGAGUAAUCAGAGAAAGAGAGCGAGACGACCAUCUGACACGCUCUUAGAGCAGUACGCCUCCGAGUACACUACCACUGCUUCCAGUUUCAUUUCAAAAUAAAAACCUGAUAACUAGGUUAAAGUGUGAGUGUGUUAUGUAAAGAAUAAACGACUCAGUGUCGUGGAAAAGAAUCAAAUGAUGAAGAGGAGUCACUGUUACUACACUGAUUACUUUCCUACAGCAGUUGUAACAGUGUCGUAUUUAUCAAAGACUGACACGUCAUGCUUUUCAUCUGUUUAUAGUGACAGUACUGGUGUAGUUCAUAUCCUCCCUUACGUUAUAGCAGCUAUAAAUGCUCCUCUCUCACCAGCCCUCUCUUUUUUCCUCUCUCUUAAAGUUAUAAGACAAAAACAAGCAGUUUGUCACUCCUCUGUCCUGAAGUACCUCGAAAAACUUAAACUUACAGCUUUACCUCUGACUGAUGCAAACCACUGACGCUGGAGACAUUAAAAACAUGCUUUUUAAUCCGUUUAUGUGGCGCGCACGCUUCACAAGUCUGUGCUGUUACUAUAGAAACAAUGAAGUAUUCGAAUAAAUAAUAUGAAGCUGUGAUUUGCAGCUGCGCUACUGUCCGAGCUGCUGUUCGGAAAGAUAAGUUGCUGCGUGCGCGCGUGUGUGUGUGUGUGUGUGUGGUCUCGGAUGUAUAGGGUGUGUUCGGGGUGUGUGUGUGACUCUGUGUCAUGCGCUGCCAGCUGAAUAAUGAAGUGGAGCUCACACAGCGUGCUGGAGGAGAUAAGAGAGAUUCACUUCUCUCAGAUUUGGCAGACGAGUGUCCACUGAGACAGAUAAAAAAUUAACCACUCGCUCACACACAGCGCCUAAUUCAGGAUUUCGGGGGAAGAGAUGAUUCUGAGUGCGCACCAAACACACACACACACACAGGCUUCCCUCUCUCCAUUUCUAUUUCUUACGGUGAGAAUGGGAGCGAUGAUGUAAAAGGUGUGAGAUGUACCUAAUAGUGAGGGGAAUUCCAGCUCUUUAUUAGCGAGUCGGUGAAUUAUUUGACUCAUAAAUAAGAGUCGACUCUUUCGCCUCCCAAACCACUUUUUUUUUUUUAAAUAAAAGUUGUUAGACUGAAUCAGUGAAUCAGCUGCGUGUCAUCAAAUGUGCACUGACAUCAACAAACUUUAAUUGUCCCUGCUGCACUGUUUGUGCUUAAUUAAGAAGAUUUAAGGUCCUAGGUCUAGGUCCUACCUGUGACUAGGUCUAGGUCCUACCUGUGACUAGGUCUAGAUCCUACCUGUGACUAGGUCUAGGUCCUACCUGUGACUAGGUCUAGGUCCUACCUGUGACUAGGUCUAGAUCCUACCUGUGACUAGUUCCUGUUAACAGUUUGACGAACCGUGGUUUUAUCUUAUCCUCUCACUGCUACUUCCUUCCAAGUUGUUUUGGUCUUCAUAAUGUCUCCGAACACACGUAUACUUUUAUACACAUGUAAUGAGAGGUCGUACAUCAGUCGAGUGAGCGACCUCUCAUUACAUGUGUAUAAAAGCAUUACGUGCGUUCAGAGACGUUAUGAAGAACGAAAUAGCUUGGAAGGAAGUAGCAGUGAGCGCACGUAGCUAAUACAGUUAGCUUGCUUUGCUAAUCUUAUCUGAGAACAAAGCUAGUACGAAGCCGAGCAUGCGACAUGUAACACAAAUAUAUGUGUAUAAAUAGUACAGCAGAGUGCAGGAUGUAGAUUUUCACUACUGUUUCUGGACAGGCCACGCCCACAAUCAACAACAGUAACGCUGCUACACACACACACACACACACUCAUUUAAUAUGACAUUAUAAUCUCCUGAAAAUUAUGAUCAGAGUCAGCGUUAUGAUCAGGGUCGAACCGUUUCAGUCGGAGGGAACCGUACCGGAAAAGCUUUUGUUGUGCAACUGUACUGGACACAACACACACUCACACACACACACACACAAGCAGUUGAAGAGCUGCUCACACCUCAAUACAACAACUCUAAAUAUACACCAUAUGUUUACAGCCUGCGCUUCUCUUCCACUCUGAGUCACUACAGGAACAGGAUCAUGAGCGCAAAACUCUGAUAUAGAAACCCUGUACGUCCUGCCCUGCUGGAAAAUACUACAGAAACCCUGAUAGAAUUUGUAAUGGUUUUAAUGGUUAUAAUGGGAAUUGUAUUGGUUGUAAUGGAAACUGUAAUACUCCCUGUGAGUCUCUACUGGUAAUUUGUUGCCUUCUAUUGGUCUAGUAAAUACCAUUAAGGACCACUAAUGGUAAUGGUUUAAUGGUUAGCUGAUGGAUUGUAAUGGUAUUUGUACUGGAAACCAUUAGAAUUUCUGUGAUGGUUUCUACUGGGGUUUUUUUUUUCCAGCUGGGAAGUUUCCAACCGCCUGCUUGAGGAGCACGAUGUAUUUCUCAUAUUAUCAUUAAACAUGAACAUUUUGGCCAAAACGAGAUUUUGUAAGUGACGCCAUGUUUAAAGCGCUGAUAAUCCUGAUAAGUUUGAACAUCUUUAAUAUCGAUUACUUCUGUUUUAUAAGAGUCAAAAAGCGGUUUUAGUGAAAUGGGGCUUUGUGUGAAGGGUUUAUGCUAUGCAUCAUGAUAUUUAGGUAUGCAAACCAAAGUGGCAGAGAAAAAAAAGACAUUAAAAUAGUGACAGUUUUUAAACAUUUGCACAGUAAAGAGAGAGAGAAAGAGAGAGAAAGAGACAGAAUGACUCAUCUAGUACACCAGAAUAUUUUUAAUGUUCGAUCUUACAAACAUUACUGCUCACAGUGACUAAACAUAACUAUAAAAGGGUAAUAAAGUACGGCUGAUAAAAAGCCACACUGACAAUAUUAAAGCAGCGGUGUGUAAAGUUUAAGCGCCCUCUUGCUGCCUGGAACUGCGACUGCAAUUAGAUAACAGACCCCCCUUCACUUCACUUUCCCCCUCCCACCGCCGUUAUUAAAGCUAUUUGAAGGGGUGGAGCUAGGCAUGUGGACAGAGCAUAUUUCAGGGCUGGAAAACUGUAAAAAGGCCAAAAUGAUUUUUU